rnacentral:rRNA from 1 species
CCUACGGGAGGCAGCAGUGAGGAAUAUUGGUCAAUGGGCGAGAGCCUGAACCAGCCAAGUCGCGUGAGGGAGUACUGCCCUAUGGGUUGUAAACCUCUUUUGUCGGGGAGCAAAAGCCGGACGUGUCCGGCUGUGAGAGUACCCGAAGAAAAGGCAUCGGCUAACUCCGUGCCAGCAGCCGCGGUAAUACGGAGGAUGCGAGCGUUAUCCGGAUUUAUUGGGUUUAAAGGGUGCGCAGGCGGAUUUUUAAGUUAGGGGUAAAAUCGUGGGGCUCAACCCCAUCCAGCCGUUGAAACUGGGGAUCUAGAGUGUGCGAGAGGUAUGCGGAAUGCGUGGUGUAGCGGUGAAAUGCAUAGAUAUCACGCAGAACCCCGAUUGCGAAGGCAGCAUACCGGUGCACAACUGACGCUCAGGCACGAAAGCGUGGGUAUCGAACAGGAUUAGAUACCCUAGUAGUC